rnacentral:rRNA from 1 species
GCCCUACGGGCGGCUGCAGUAGGGAAUAUUAGUAAUGGGCGAAAGCCUGAACUAGCAACACCGCGUGUGCGAUGAAGGCCUUCGGGUUGUAAAGCACUUUUAGAGAGGACGAGGAAGGACGGUACUCUCUGAAUAAGUCUCGGCUAACUACGUGCCAGCAGCCGCGGUAAAACGUAGGAGGCAAACGUUAUCCGGAUUUACUGGGCGUAAAGCGCGUGUAGGUGGUGCGUUAAGUAGGGCGUGAAAGCUCCUGGCUCAACUGGGAGAGGUCGUUCUAAACUAACGGACUAGGGGAUGGUAGAGGGAAGUGGAAUUCCGGGUGUAGCGGUGGAAUGCGCAGAUAUCCGGAGGAACACCAGUGGCGAAAGCGGCUUCCUGGACCAAACCUGACACUCAGACGCGAAAGCUAGGGUAGCAAACGGGAUUAGAUACCCUGGUAGUCGUG